rnacentral:rRNA from 1 species
UAAAUUCCCUUUGUUGAGGAAGAUAAUGACGGUACUCAACAAGGAAGUGACGGCUAACUACGUGCCAGCAGCCGCGGUAAAACGUAGGUCACAAGCGUUGUCCGGAAUUACUGGGUGUAAAGGGAGCGCAGGCGGGAGAACAAGUUGGAAGUGAAAUCCAUGGGCUCAACCCAUGAACUGCUUUCAAAACUGUUUUUCUUGAGUAGUGCAGAGGUAGGCGGAAUUCCCGGUGUAGCGGUGGAAUGCGUAGAUAUCGGGAGGAACACCAGUGGCGAAGGCGGCCUACUGGGCACCAACUGACGCUGAGGCUCGAAAGUGUGGGUAGCAAACAGGAUUAGAUACCCUGGUAGUCCACACCGUAAACGAUGAUUACUAGGUGUUGGAGGAUUGACCCCUUCAGUGCCGCAGUUAACACAAUAAGUAAUCCACCUGGGGAGUACGACCGCAAGGUUGAAACUCAAAGGAAUUGACGGGGGCCCGCACAAGCAGUGGAGUAUGUGGUUUAAUUCGACGCAACGCGAAGAACCUUACCAAGUCUUGACAUCCCUUGACGAUGCUGGAAACAGUAUUUCUCUUCGGAGCAAGGAGACAGGUGGUGCAUGGUUGUCGUCAGCUCGUGUCGUGAGAUGUUGGGUUAAGUCCCGCAACGAGCGCAACCCUUAUGGUCAGUUACUACGCAAGAGGACUCUGGCCGGACUGCCGU